rnacentral:rRNA from 1 species
ACGGGAGGCAGCAGUGAGGAGUAUUGGUCAAUGGACGGAAGUCUGAACCAGCCAAGUAGCGUGCAGGAUGACGGCCCUAUGGGUUGUAAACUGCUUUUAUAGGGGGAUAAAGUGAGCCACGAGUGGCUUUUUGUAGGUACCCUAUGAAUAAGCAUCGGCUAACUCCGUGCCAGCAGCCGCGGUAAUACGGAGGAUGCGAGCGUUAUCCGGAUUUAUUGGGUUUAAAGGGUGCGCAGGCGGCACGUUAAGUCAGCGGUGAAAUGUCGGGGCUCAACCCGGGCACUGCCGUUGAAACUGGCGAGCUUGAGUACGGAUGAAGUCGGCGGAAUGUGAUGUGUAGCGGUGAAAUGCUUAGAUAUGUCACAGAACACCGAUUGCGAAGGCAGCUGACUAAUCCGCAACUGACGCUCAGGCACGAAAGCGUGGGGAUCGAACAGGAUUAGAUACCCUGGUA